AGUUUGAAGACGGUAGCCCGGGUAGCCAACGACAAUCACCCUUUCCACUUAUGCAUACUAUCGCACCGUAUCCGUGUGCUUCGAGUUCGGCUCAAGUUCGGCUUAGUAGAGAGAGAAGACGAAACAUAAGUCGUCGUCAGUCGGCUGCGCGUCGCUCGGAUCUUACCGAAUCAGGAGCAAAAGUAACAGACUGAUGUUUCGUCUUCUCUCUCUACUAAGCCGAACUUGAGUCGCGCUCGGAGCACACGGACACGGUGCGAUAGUAUGCGUAAGUGGAGGGGCUAAUUCUCGUUGAUGUUGAUUGAGUUGAUUCCCGUUCUCCUCCUCAACGCUCAAACUGGUCACUCCUGCUCCUGGACCUCUUGGUGACGUUGACGUUAGGCGUUAGUGAUUGGAGUUUGGUUCCACUUAACCCUUCUAAUUAAAUAAUUCUACUGAAAUGAAAAUUGAACAGCAAGAAAGUUUGAAACACAUACAACAAGUGGAAGAGAAGGCAGGUGAGAUACUCACUGACAGGCAAGAAAUAAUUGCUUUGGACAAAAGAAGAAAUGAGGAUAGAGUUGGUAUGAGAGCAUUGCAAAAGGAAAAUUGCAAGAAAACUUGGAUAACUGUAGGACCACUAUUAAUUAAAAUGCCAUCUACAACUGCCGAAGAAUUACUUGUUAAAGAUCAAAAAGAGUGUGACAUAGAAAUAAAUAAAAUAAGGAGUAAUUUAAAAAUAAAAGUGAAUGAAUUAAGAGACCUAGAACUUAAUCCACCUGUAUCAGGUUUAAUGUUACAACCUUUGACUCACAAAGAAAUGACUGCAAUAAAUCUAGUUAUGGGACAAAGUUCUUAACAUAUAAUAAUACUUUGAAUAAGUAUAAUAAGAAUACAAUUAAAUAGUACAAAUCUAUAAUUAUAGAAGCACCAAGAAACCACAAAUUAUCCAACCACUAGACGUAUUGAAUGGUGUAUGUAAUAGGUUUUUCAAAACACCUCGAUAGCAAAUAAAAUGCGCAGCUAAUCUGAUGAAUGAAAUUUAUAUAAAAAGUCAAUAUAUACAUGAUCGGUACGUAGAAAAUGUAAAUUUCAUUCAAUUAUCUAUUAAAGUUAUAAUUUUUAAUAACAUAGCCUUAGUACAUUUAUUCAAAAUAGUGAAAAGAAACCAACCGUUGCGUUUUGUUUUUGUUUACAUCUUGUGCCCUAAGGGAAUCGAAGUUAUUCGAUAUCCAUUUCAACAAGAAAUUGGUAUCCCAGGGUUCGUCUACUGUAGAUAUUGUGGUAUUUGCGUUGUAAUUGAGAUCGAAACGAACAUUUUUAUUUGCUGGUUCCUUAUAAUAUCUUAACUCUGACAGAUCAUCCACAUAUUCUCUUUCACUGUUCACACUGUAACUACCGAUUACUUCUAAAUCGGAUAUAUGCAUCGCGGAUCCACGUAUAAGAGGAACAGAGACUGUCUUAAUAUUUGAAUCUUGCAUUCUUCCAUUAAAAAUUGCGAUACAGAAUCAUACGGAAUCACUUCUCGAUGUGUUACUGUUUUUAUACAUACAUGAACUUGGAGACAGAAAAGUAGUUGGAUGGAACAGUAACGUCUAAAGACUGAUUGACCGAGAGAUUUUAUUCUAAAUGUAGUAUUCUCAGACGUGUACUAAAGGAAGACGGUUCCUCGUGAAGAAUGUUAGUAAGUAUGAAACGGUCAUAAAGUAAUUGUCCCAAUUUCUGUUUACGUCGGUUUGUAUGAUCUUGAAGUUACAGAAAAAUAAUCCAGCAUAGACAUUCGAACGUGGACAGAAAUUGAGACAUUUACAAUGAAGAAAUAAAAUUUAAUCCAAAUACAAAUUGAUACCAACACAUUUAAAGGACAUAUUGAUAGAAACCUUUAUAUCUUUUUUAAUAAAUUGAUUAAAUCGGUCA